rfam:Oryzias latipes DNA, chromosome17, strain: Hd-rR.
CCAAAGGUUUCAUUUGAAGCCACCUCACAAUCUCUGUGACUUUAAG